UACGAAGGGUGCAAGCGUUACUCGGAAUUACUGGGCGUAAAGCGUGCGUAGGUGGUUCGUUAAGUCUGUCGUGAAAGCCCCGGGCUCAACCUGGGAAUGGCGAUGGAUACUGGCGGGCUAGAGUGCGGUAGAGGAGAGUGGAAUUCCCGGUGUAGCAGUGAAAUGCGUAGAGAUCGGGAGGAACAUCAGUUGCGAAGGCGGCGCUCUGGACCAGCACUGACACUGAGGCACGAAAGCGUGGGGAGCAAACAGG
rnacentral:rRNA from 1 species